GCUUUAGAGUUAGCUGCAGAAGCGACAAUGGAUGCAAUGAUGGCAUCAACAGAGGCCAUUAGAGCAUUUUGGAUUAGUUUAUCUUGUCGAAACCAAUCCUUAUACUCCGGGUUUGGCGUCUCGUGGCUGUUGGUGGUGACUAUUUCGGAUAAAAUGGCGUAGAGUUAUCAAGAUGACCAAUUUGGGCCUUUCAUGUAGUGAAAUUAUUACUCCACACAAUUUAAUGGGCAACUAAGAUGAUGGGUUGAAUUGGAUUAAAUGUUUGAACACAGUGGUGUUGACGGUAUUAGCAACUAGUGUAGAGGAACCCAUUUUUACAGAGGAAAAAAAAG
rnacentral:lncRNA from 1 species